rnacentral:rRNA from 1 species
GACGAACGCUGGCGGCGUGCCUAAUACAUGCAAGUUGAGCGAUGAAGAUUGGUGCUUGCACCAAUUUGAAGAGCAGCGAACGGGUGAGUAACGCGUGGGGAAUCUGCCUUUGAGCGGGGGACAACAUUUGGAAACGAAUGCUAAUACCGCAUAACAACUUUAGACUUAAGUUUUAAGUUUGAAAGAUGCAAUUGCAUCACUCAAAGAUGAUCCCGCGUUGUAUUAGCUAGUUGGUGAGGUAAAGGCUCACCAAGGCGAUGAUACAUAGCCGACCUGAGAGGGUGAUCGGCCACAUUGGGACUGAGACACGGCCCAAACUCCUACGGGAGGCAGCAGUAGGGAAUCUUCGGCAAUGGACGAAAGUCUGACCGAGCAACGCCGCGUGAGUGAAGAAGGUUUUCGGAUCGUAAAACUCUGUUGGUAGAGAAGAACGUUGGUGAGAGUGGAAAGCUCAUCAAGUGACGGUAACUACCCAGAAAGGGACGGCUAACUACGUG